UUUCAUCUGUGGGGAAAACUUCUAAGAUCCCAAUGGAUGCCUGAGAUCUAUGACAGCAUCAAGAAGCAAAGGAAGCACUUUCCGUCUUAUCGUUGGGAUUUCUGAACUGCCAGCAUUACUUCACACCGAGGCCAUUAUUCAGUUCAAGCUCCUGGAACAUGAGCACUAAAUAGAUGCUUCAGUCAUCUGAUGACAUCACAAAGUGACUAACGGUGGGCAGCACACACAACCUCAACAUGCUGGAUACAGAAAUACUUCGUGCCUCAUUCUCAACACUAAGGGAUUUUUACCACGCCACUUAGAU